rnacentral:misc_RNA from 1 species
UACGGAGGGUGCAAGCGUUAAUCGGAAUUACUGGGCGUAAAGCGCGCGUAGGUGGCUUGAUAACCCGCUUGUGAAAGCCCCGGGCUCGACCUGGGAACGGCAUCCGGAACUUUCAAGCUAGAGUGCAGGAGAGGAAGGUAGAAUUCCCGGUGUAGCGGUGAAAUGCGUAGAGAUCGGGAGGAAUACCAGUGGCGAAGGCGGCCUUCUGGACUGACACUGACUCUGAGGUGCGAAAGCGUUGGGAGCAAACAGG